rnacentral:rRNA from 1 species
AACGAACGCUGGCGGCGCGCUUAACACAUGCAAGUCGAACGAGAAGCUGUAGCAAUACAGUUGUAAAGUGGCAAACGGGUGAGUAAUGCGUGGGUAAUCUACCCUCGGGUGGGGAAUAACUCUUCGAAAGGAGAGCUAAUGCCGACAUGUGCAUCACUUUCGCAAGGAAGUGCUGGAAAGCCGUAUCGUGGAUACGGCGCCCAAGGAUGAGCUCACGUCCUANCAGCUUGUUGGCGGGGUAACGGCCCACCAAGGCUCCGACGGGUAGCUGGUCUGAGAGGACGACCAGCCACACUGGCACUGCGACACGGGCCAGACUCCUACGGGAGGCAGCAGUGAGGAAUAUUGCGCAAUGGACGAAAGUCUGACGCAGCGACGCC